AGAUCCAUCACCACCGCCGGCACUUGUUGGUAUUUUUCCGGCGGAGACAAAACGAUCGCAGGUACUGUGUACAAACGCAAAAAACAUCUACGAGCUCUUUUACAUAUUAACUUUAGCUAGUUUAAUUGAAAUAAUUAUUUAGCAACACUAUUACAGGUUGUAAAAUAUACAAAUACUGAAUUUGUGGGUUUGUGGAUUAUUCAAGUUUUGUUUAUUUCACAAGUUAUUGCAGUAAAUGUAACUUAGUACAAGUACCUACACUUUUCUGAGAAUAAAAAACAUGUACCAAAUAACUACAAUGGGUUCUUAUUUUAUUAAUCAUACUACAAUAGUGUUAAAUGUUAAUUUUAUCUUCAGACUUUUGUUGCAGAAAUUAAUUAAAUGUUUUUAUUUGAAAAUUUGAUUUGAAAUCAGUAAAAGUAGUAUUUCAUUAUUCUCACUAAUGAAAACAUUAUUCUCAUGUUCACAUACGUGUAAUGAUGUUUUAUAGUUUAAUAAAAAAAAUACUUAAAACCACAUAUUUUUUAAUAUAAAAGUAUUUCUUAUGUAUUUCUUUUUAACUAGACAAGACCCCUAUAAUGCAGAAUCAACCAGUCUCUCAAUCCUGGAGCUGUUUGUCCAACAGUGAAGACCCAAGACCAGACUUCAGAAUGAACAGGAACUCUCCUGGAGUCUUCCUGAACCUCCUUGAUCAGGAUCGGUGACAUUGGCAUUCUCCUGCAAGUGCUGGAGCUGCAUCACACUUCUGUACCUCAUGUUGUCACAGCGUGUGCCAUCCUCCACAACAUCUGCCUCUGUGCUGACGACACCGAGGCCCCAGAGGAAGAUGUGGAGGUGAUGAUGAUGAGGACGCUGGUUUGGAGGUCACAGUGAUGCUCUCUGGCAGGACCAACUACCGGCUGAGGUUUCUGCCCUGGGGGAGGUACCACCUUGAUUACUGCAUCCGUCCACAGCCAGCCCUGCAAACCCUGAAGAUGGACGAUGCCGUCUACAGUGAAGAUGCAUCCUGAAAUUCAAUCACCACCCAGAAAGUUCCAGCCCGGGUCUCAGUUGAAGCCCCCCCCGUCCAUGUCGACUAUCUUUGUAAAUAGUUGGAAAUAAAAGUUACAAUUAAUCCAUGACAA